GACAGAGGAUGCAAGCGUUAUCCGGAAUGAUUGGGCGUAAAGCGUCUGUAGGUGGCUUUUUAAGUCUGCCGUCAAAUCCCAGGGCUUAACCCUGGACAGGCGGUGGAAACUACCAAGCUGGAGUACGGUAGGGGCAGGGGGAAUUUCCGGUGGAGCGGUGAAAUGCGUAGAGAUCGGAGAGAACACCAACGGCGAAAGCACUCUGCUGGGCCGACACUGACACUGAGAGACGAAAGCUAGGGGAGCGAAUGGG
rnacentral:rRNA from 1 species